AAGAAGGACUCACAAAAUACUGUCAGGAUAUCAUUUAUGAGACAAUUAAGUCAGAGUCUGGGCAAGUUAUUACGUUUCUGCCCAGGUUUAGUUGCUCAUCUCUGGCAUGUGAACCCAGUGGUGAUAAGUGGUUGUGGGGAAACACAGGCACAAAAUGUUAUUAUUAUUAUUAUUUCUCUCUGCAGCCAAAAAAGUAAAUGCAACAAGGCUGAGCAAAUUGCAGUCUUGCAUGCAACCUUGCAUUCAGUCUUGCAUUCAUGAUCUGAAUUAGCAGCCCUGUAAGUCAAGCCUUGAUUUUUUUCUUUCUAGGAAAAUGCAGAAUUCCUGGAGCAGUGUCACCCUGAUGAGGAUUUCUUUACAGGACAAAUGCUGCCUACUAUAGACAAAGCAGGACGGAAAAUGACAUCAAAUCUCAUGCAUAUGGUGGUUGUGCAGUUAAAGACGGCACUGAGCAAAAGAUUGGAUUGCACAAUGACAGCUGAAACAGCUGAAAGCCUCGAAACGUCUGUGUGUGUUAGCAAGACACCCAAGAGCAGGUUUUUACUUCUGGCAUUUCAGCUCCAAGUUCUGAGGUGGAAGGAUUCCAAGGCUGAACGGCUCAUCAUUCCCCAGUAACUCAUACCAGAUGCUAAAGAAAUGAAAAGAAAUGAAAGUCCGUGUUCCCUGGGACAAUGGUAUCAAGGUAUUUCCUAGGCUUUUGUUUCAUUGCUUGAAAGCUUACACGUGUCUCGGGCUUUUAAUGAGUUUUUACUUUGGUCUGAGGGGGGACAGGUGGACGUUUUGCACUGUAGCUGGCUGUUAUUAAUUAAAAUGAGGACUGACAACAUUAAAACCAGAAGGGGUGAGUCCAGUGAGAAGGAUGAGGGUUUGAAAAGAGGUUGUUAAUGUCGAGUUCUCUGUUGGCAGCAUGUCAACAGCAGCCUGUCAGUCAUGGUUAUGCUUGUGCAGGCUGUGGUUGUCAUCUACAAUAAGACAGAGCUCUUGGUUCUGCAUUGCAGCUCCUUUACACCAGCCCCAGCAGGGCUUCACAUCAGCUCUUCAAACCAGCCAAAACCAUCUGGGAGAAUCUUGGGUUGAAUUUGCCACAGACUGAGACAAUAUGACUACCCAUAGACAUAAUUAUUGUGUUUCUGAACCAAUAUAUUCCUGAAUGCACUAUCAUACCUAGAAUAUGUGGAAAGAAUGUAUUGAUGGUGAGUUAAGAACCUAAAAAUGUGCUAUUGAAUUCUCUAUUGAGAUUCAGUUACCAUAAACAGUAAUUAAAUAG
rnacentral:lncRNA from 1 species